GACGAACGCUGGCGGCGUGCCUAAUACAUGCAAGUUGAGCGCUGAAGGUUGGUACUUGUCCCGACUGGAUGAGCAGCGAACGGGUGAGUAACGCGUGGGGAAUCCGCCUUUGAGCGGGGGACAACAUUUGGAAACGAAUGCUAAUACCGCAUAAAAACUUUAAACACAAGUUUUAAGUUUGAAAGAUGCAAUUGCAUCACUCAAAGAUGAUCCCGCGUUGUAUUAGCUAGUUGGUGAGGUAAAGGCUCACCAAGGCGAUGAUACAUAGCCGACCUGAGAGGGUGAUCGGCCACAUUGGGACUGAGACACGGCCCAAACUCCUACGGGAGGCAGCAGUAGGGAAUCUUCGGCAAUGGACGAAAGUCUGACCGAGCAACGCCGCGUGAGUGAAGAAGGUUUUCGGAUCGUAAAACUCUGUUGGUAGAGAAGAACGUUGGUGAGAGUGGAAAGCUCAUCAAGUGACGGUAACUACCCAGAAAGGGACGGCUAACUACGUG
rnacentral:rRNA from 1 species